GACGAACGCUGGCGGCGUGCCUAAUACAUGCAAGUCGAACGCAUUUUCUUUCACCGUAGCUUGCUACACCGAAAGAAAAUGAGUGGCGAACGGGUGAGUAACACGUGGGUAACCUGCCCAUCAGCGGGGGAUAACACUUGGAAACAGGUGCUAAUACCGCAUAAUUCCAUUUACCGCAUGGUAAAUGGAUGAAAGGCGCUUUUGCGUCACUGAUGGAUGGACCCGCGGUGCAUUAGCUAGUUGGUGGGGUAACGGCCUACCAAGGCUGCGAUGCAUAGCCGACCUGAGAGGGUGAUCGGCCACACUGGGACUGAGACACGGCCCAGACUCCUACGGGAGGCAGCAGUAGGGAAUCUUCGGCAAUGGACGCAAGUCUGACCGAGCAACGCCGCGUGAGUGAAGAAGGUUUUCGGAUCGUAAAACUCUGUUGUUAGAGAAGAACAAGGAUGAGAGCGGAAAGUUCAUCCCUUGACGGUAUCUAACCAGAAAGCCACGGCUAACUACGUG
rnacentral:rRNA from 1 species